rnacentral:tRNA from 1 species
UUCAGUUGGUUAGAACGCUGGCCUGUCAAGCCAGAGGUCGCGGGUUCAAGUCCCGUCCGCUCCGCCA